GAGGAAAGAGGGAGGCGUGCCUAAUACAUGCAAGUCGAGCGAACAGAUAAGGAGCUUGCUCCUUUGACGUUAGCGGCGGACGGGUGAGUAACACGUGGAUAACCUACCUAUAAGACUGGGAUAACUUCGGGAAACCGGAGCUAAUACCGGAUAACAUAUUGAACCGCAUGGUUUAAUAGUGAAAGGCGGCUUUGCUGUCACUUAUAGAUGGAUCCGCGCCGUAUUAGCUAGUUGGUAAGGUAACGGCUUACCAAGGCAACGAUACGUAGCCGACCUGAGAGGGUGAUCGGCCACACUGGAACUGAGACACGGUCCAGACUCCUACGGGAGGCAGCAGUAGGGAAUCUUCCGCAAUGGGCGAAAGCCUGACGGAGCAACGCCGCGUGAGUGAUGAAGGUCUUCGGAUCGUAAAACUCUGUUAUCAGGGAAGAACAAAUGUGUAAGUAACUGUGCACAUCUUGACGGUACCUGAUCAGAAAGCCACGGCUAACUACGUG
rnacentral:rRNA from 1 species